CCUACGGGGGGCUGCAGUGGGGAAUAUUGGACAAUGGGCGAAAGCCUGAUCCAGCCAUGCCGCGUGUGUGAAGAAGGCCUUCGGGUUGUAAAGCACUUUCAGUGGGGAAGAAAGCCUUGGGGCUAAUACCCUCGAGGAAGGACAUCACCCACAGAAGAAGCACCGGCUAACUCCGUGCCAGCAGCCGCGGUAAUACGGAGGGUGCGAGCGUUAAUCGGAAUUACUGGGCGUAAAGCGCGCGUAGGCGGUCUGAUAAGCCGGUUGUGAAAGCCCCGGGCUCAACCUGGGAACGGCAUCCGGAACUGUCAGGCUAGAGUGCAGGAGAGGAAGGUAGAAUUCCCGGUGUAGCGGUGAAAUGCGUAGAGUUCGGGAGGAAUACCAGUGGCGAAGGCGGCCUUCUGGACUGACACUGACGCUGAGGUGCGAAAGCGUGGGUAGCAAACAGGAUUAGAUACCCCGGUAGUC
rnacentral:rRNA from 1 species